rnacentral:rRNA from 1 species
GACGAACGCUGGCGGCGUGCUUAACACAUGCAAGUCGAACGGAAAGGCCCUGCUUUUGUGGGGUGCUCGAGUGGCGAACGGGUGAGUAACACGUGAGUAACCUGCCCUUGACUUUGGGAUAACUUCAGGAAACUGGGGCUAAUACCGGAUAGGAGCUCCUGCUGCAUGGUGGGGGUUGGAAAGUUUCGGCGGUUGGGGAUGGACUCGCGGCUUAUCAGCUUGUUGGUGGGGUAGUGGCUUACCAAGGCUUUGACGGGUAGCCGGCCUGAGAGGGUGACCGGCCACAUUGGGACUGAGAUACGGCCCAGACUCAUACGGGAGGCAGCAGUGGGGAAUAUGGCACAAUGGGCGGAAGCCUGAUGCAGCAACGCCGCGUGCGGGAUGACGGCCUUCGGGUGGGAAACCGCUUUCGCCUGUGACGAAGCGUGAGUGACGGUAAUGGGGAAAGAAGCACCGGCGAACUACGU